GAUGAACGCUGGCGGCGUGCCUAAUACAUGCUAGUCGAGCGAACGGACGAGAAGCUUGCUUCUCUGAUGUUAGCGGCGGACGGGUGAGUAACACGUGGAUAACCUACCUAUAAGACUGGGAUAACUUCGGGAAACCGGAGCUAAUACCGGAUAAUAUUUUGAACCGCAUGGUUCAAAAGUGAAAGACGGUCUUGCUGUCACUUAUAGAUGGAUCCGCGCUGCAUUAGCUAGUUGGUAAGGUAACGGCUUACCAAGGCAACGAUGCAUAGCCGACCUGAGAGGGUGAUCGGCCACACUGGAACUGAGACACGGUCCAGACUCCUACGGGAGGCAGCAGUAGGGAAUCUUCCGCAAGGGGCGAAAGCCUGACGGAGCAACGCCGCGUGAGUGAUGAAGGUCUUCGGAUCGUAAAACUCUGUUAUUAGGGAAGAACAUAUGUGUAAGUAACUGUGCACAUCUUGACGGUACCUAAUCAGAAAGCCACGGCUAACUACGUG
rnacentral:rRNA from 1 species